AGAGUUUGAUCCUGGCUCAGGAUGAACGCUGGCGGCGUGCCUAACACAUGCAAGUUGAGCGAGAAAUCACUUAAAGAAGCUUCGGUAGACUUAAGAGAUGGAGAGCAGCGGACGGGUGAGUAACGCGUGGGAAACCUGCCCUUGACAGGAGGAUAGCCGAGAGAAAUUUCGAUUAAUACUUCAUAAAGCAGAGCAUUCGCAUGGAUGAACUGCCAAAGAAUUAUCGGUCAAGGAUGGUCCCGCGUCUGAUUAGCUGGUUGGUAAGGUAGCGGCUUACCAAGGCGACGAUCAGUAGCCGGCCUGAGAGGGUGAACGGCCACAUUGGAACUGAGACACGGUCCAGACUCCUACGGGAGGCAGCAGUGGGGAAUAUUGCACAAUGGGCGAAAGCCUGAUGCAGCAACGCCGCGUGAAGGAAGAAGGCUUUCGAGUCGUAAACUUCUGUCCAAAGGGAAGAAUAAUGACGGUACCUUUGAAGAAAGCCCCGGCUAACUACGUGCCAGCAGCCGCGGUAAUACGUAGGGGGCGAGCGUUAUCCGGAAUUACUGGGCGUAAAGAGUAUGUAGGUGGUUAAGUAAGCGUAGGGUUUAAGGCGACAGCCCAACUGUCGUAUGCCCCGCGAACUGUUUAACUUGAGUACAGGAGGGGAAGGCGGAAUUCCUAGUGUAGCGGUGAAAUGCGUAGAUAUUAGGAGGAACACCAGUGGCGAAGGCGGCCUUCUGGACUGUAACUGACACUGAGAUACGAAAGCGUGGGUAGCAAACAGGAUUAGAUACCCUGGUAGUCCACGCCGUAAACGAUGAGCACUAGGUGUCGGGGUCGUAAGGCUUCGGUGCCGGAGUUAACGCAUUAAGUGCUCCGCCUGGGGAGUACGCACGCAAGUGUGAAACUCAAAGGAAUUGACGGGGACCCGCACAAGCAGCGGAGCAUGUGGUUUAAUU
rnacentral:rRNA from 1 species